AAAAAUUACGUUCAGAAAUAAUACAUUAGGUCUAACUCUUUUUAAAAGUCAAUUAUGCAAUCACCAUAGUCCAUAUUUAGGUACGUUCUCAUUAUGCUGAUCGCCAAAGCUGUACUUAUGCAAACGUGACGGUCGGCUUCAUUAUCAGGCCGAAUAAUUUGUCCAACGUAACCCGCACACUGGCAGUUUAUAUCAUAGAAAGCUGAACCAACUUUUCUAGUGGAGACGUGUUUCGGUUCAUCCUUAGUCGGCAUUUGAAGAAGAAGAAGAAAAAAAUUGAAUGAAGUAACUUCACAUUUAAUGAAAUGUGCCGUUAGCAUCCUUUGCUUUGGAAUAAUCAUCUGACGGAUUACAAAUCACAAGGCAGACACAGAAAAUAUGGCUAGAUGGAGUAGAGGAAGACUUCAUAGGGAUGGACAUUGAAAAUUGAAAUGUUGUAGUAUAGGACAGAGAUGGUCCAACAUUUCAAAAGAUUGAUUUCGGCAAAAGAAAUAGAAGAUUAUAUUAUAUUCUAAAAAUGUAGUACUUUAAUAUGAUUAAUAAUA